UAGGGGGUAGAGCACUGUUUCGGCUAGGGGGUCAUCCCGACUUACCAAACCGAUGCAAACUCCGAAUACCUAUGAGUACUAUCCGGGAGACAGACUGCGGGUGCUAACGUCCGUAGUCAAGAGGAAAACAAUCCAGACCGCCAGCUAAGGCCCCAAAAUCAUAGUUAAGUGGGAAACGAUGUGGGAAGGCAUAGACAGCUAGGAGGUUGGCUUAGAAGCAGCCACCCUUUAAAGAAAGCGUAAUAGCUCACUAGUCGAGUCGGCCUGCGCGGAAGAUGUAACGGGGCUAAAACUAUGUGCCGAAGCUGCGGAUUUGACAUUAGUCAAGUGGUAGGGGAGCGUUCUGUAAGCCGAUGAAGG
rnacentral:rRNA from 1 species